rnacentral:rRNA from 1 species
AAAUCAGUACGCUGGUCGUGCCUCUGGUAUGUACUGGUGUUACUGAUUUCUCCCUUCUGAAGAACUAUCAUGCCAUUAAUUUGGUGUGGUAGGGAAUCAGGACUGUUACUUUGAAAAAAUUAGAGUGUUUAAAGCAGGCAUUUUGCUCGAAUACAUUAGCAUGGAAUAAUGAAAUAGGACGUUCGAUCCUAUUUUGUUGGUUUCUAGGAUUGACGUA